UACGUAGGGGGGCGAGCGUUGUCCGGAUUUAUUGGGCGUAAAGAGCGUGUAGGCGGCUUGGUAGGUCCGCUGUGAAAACUCGGGGCUCAACCCCGAGAGGUCGGUGGAAACCAUCUGGCUAGAGUCCGGAAGAGGAGAGUGGAAUUCCCGGUGUAGCGGUGAAAUGCGUAGAGAUGUGGAGGAACACCAGUGGCGAAGGCGACUCUUUGGUCUGUAACUGACGCUGAGGCGCGAAAAGCCGUGGGGAGCA
rnacentral:rRNA from 1 species